CAAAUAAUCCCUUCGUCCGGAAAUACUUGUCAUCAAAAUGGAUAAAAGGAAAUGUAUCUAGACGUAUUUUAGUUUUAGAUACAUCUCUUUUUAUCCAUUUUGAUGACAAGUAUUUUCGGACGAAGGGAGUAGAAA
rfam:Triticum aestivum genome assembly, contig: Triticum_aestivum_CS42_TGACv1_scaffold_006422_1AL